rnacentral:rRNA from 1 species
GAGGGGGUGCUAACGUUAUUCGGAUUUACUGGGGUGUAAAGGGUGUGUAGACGGCUUAUCAAGUUCGUUGUUAAAUCUUCCGGCUUAACCGGGAAGCUUGCGAUGAAAACUGAUAGGCUUGAGGAUGAAAGAGAGAGGCGGAAUUCUCGGAGUAGCGGUAAAAUGCGUAGAUCUCGAGAGGAACACCGAUGGCGAAAGCAGCCUCUUGGUUCAUACCUGACGUUGAGACACGAAAGCGUGGGGAGCAAACAGGAUUAGAUACCCUGGUAGUCCACGCUGUAAACGAUGAUCACUGGAUAUCAGCUUUGCUUUGCAAGGUUGGUAUCGAAGCUAACGCGUUAAGUGAUCCACCUGGGAACUACGAUCGCAAGAUUA